rnacentral:rRNA from 1 species
GUUAGGAAUUUUACGCAAUGGACGAAAGUCUGACGUAGCAAUGCCGCGUGAGUGACGAAGGCCUUCGGGUUGUAAAGCUCUUUUAGUUGGAAAGAAAAAAAUGACGGUACCAACAGAAAAAGCACCGGCUAACCCUGUGCCAGCAGCCGCGGUAAUACAGGGGGUGCAAGCGUUAUUCGGAGUUACUGGGCGUAAAGCGCACGUAGGUGGUUUAGUAAGUCUGGUGUGAAAUCCCCGGACUCAAUUCGGGAAGUGCAUUGGAUACUACUAGACUAGAGUAUAGGAGGGGAGAGCGGAAUUCCUGGUGUAGAGGUGAAAUUCGUAGAUAUCAGGAGGAACAACGGAGGCGAAGGCGGCUCUCUAGACUAUAACUGACACUCAGGUGCGAAAGCGUGGGGAGCAAACAGGAUUAGAUACCCCGGUAGUCC